AAGACGAGGAUAACAGUUGGAAACGACUGCUAAGACUGGAUAGGAGAUAAGAAGGCAUCUUUUUAUUUUUAAAAGACCUAGCAAUAGGUAUGCUUAGGGAAGAGCUUGCGUCACAUUAGUUAGUUGGUGGGGUAAUGGCCUACCAAGACGAUGAUGUGUAGCCGGGCUGAGAGGUCGAACGGCCACAUUGGGACUGAGACACGGCCCAAACUCCUACGGGAGGCAGCAGUAAGGAAUUUUCGGCAAUGGAGGAAACUCUGACCGAGCAAUGCCGCGUGAACGAUGAAGUAUUUCGGUACGUAAAGUUCUUUUAUUAGGGAAGAAAAGAUGGUGGAAAAACCAUUAUGACGGUACCUAAUGAAUAAGCCCCGGCUAACUAUGUGCCAGCAGCCGCGGUAAUACAUAGGGGGCAAGCGUUAUCCGGAAUUAUUGGGCGUAAAGGGUGCGUAGGCGGUUAAAUAAGUUUAUGGUCUAAGUGCAACGCUCAACGUUGUGAUGCUAUAAAAACUGUUUAGCUAGAGUUGGAUAGAGGCAAGUGGAAUUCCGUGUGUAGUGGUAAAAUGCGUAAAUAUACGGAGGAACACCAGAAGCGAAGGCGGCUUGCUGGGUCUUAACUGACGCUGAGGCACGAAAGCGUGGGGAGCAAACAGGAUUAGAUACCCUGGUAGUCCACGCCCUAAACGAUGAGUACUAAACGUUGGAUAAAACCAGUGUUGAAGUUAACACAUUAAGUACUCCGCCUGAGUAGUACGUACGCAAGUAUGAAACUUAAAGGAAUUGACGGGACUCCGCACAAGCGGUGGAUCAUGUUGUUUAAUUCGAAGGUACCCGAAAAACCUCACCAGGUCUUGACAUGCUUUUGCAAAGCUGUAGAAAUACAGUGGAGGUUAUCAGAAGCACAGGUGGUGCAUGGUUGUCGUCAGCUCGUGUCGUGAGAUGUUGGGUUAAGUCCCGCAACGAGCGCAACCCUUGUUGUUAAUUGCCAUCAUUAAGUUGGGGACUUUAGCAAGACUGCCAAUGAUAAAUUGGAGGAAGGUGGGGACGACGUCAAAUCAUCAUGCCCCUUAUGACCUGGGCUACAAACGUGAUACAAUGGCUGUUACAAAGGGUAGCUAAAGCGUAAGCUUCUGGCGAAUCUCAAAAAAGCAGUCUCAGUUCGGAUUGAAGUCUGCAACUCGACUUCAUGAAGUUGGAAUCGCUAGUAAUCGCGAAUCAGCAUGUCGCGGUGAAUACGUUCUCGGGGUUUGUACACACCGCCCGUCAAACCACGAAAGUUGGCAAUACCCGAAGCCGGUGGCCUAACUUGAGCAAUCAAGAAGGAGCCGUCUAAGGUAGGGUUGAUGAUUGGGGUUAAGUCGUAACAAGGUAUCC
rnacentral:rRNA from 1 species